AACGUUGCCCUUGUUCCGUACACA
rnacentral:siRNA from 1 species